CACGUAGGGGGCAAGCGUUGUUCGGAUUCAUUGGGCGUAAAGGGCGCGUAGGCUGCGGGGUAAGUCGGGUGUGAAAUCUCAGAGCUCAACUCUGAAACUGCACUCGAUACUGCUUUGCUUGAGGACUGGAGAGGAGAUUGGAAUUCACGGUGUAGCAGUGAAAUGCGUAGAUAUCGUGAGGAAGACCAGUGGCGAAGGCGGAUCUCUGGACAGUUCCUGACGCUGAGGCGCGAAGGCCAGGGGAGCAAACGGG
rnacentral:rRNA from 1 species